CCUAGUUAAUUCUGCUAGUAGUUAUAUACUUGUCUUAAAGAUUAAGCUAUAUAUAUCUAAGUAUAAGUAAUUAUACUGUAAAACUGCAAAUAGCUUAUUAAAUUAGUUAUUAUUUAUUUGAUAGUACUUUACUACUUAGAUAACUGUAGUAAUUCUAGAGCUAAUAUAUACUGAAAACCCUAACUUUAGGAGGGGUGUAUAUAUUAGAUAAAAAACUAACGCCCUUUAGGGCUUCUUAGUGAUUUAUAAUAUCUUUACAGAUUGUAUAGCCUUACGCCAGCAACAGUUUAUUUAAAUUUCUACUCUAUUAACUUUUAAUAGUAAGGUAUUAGCUUACUAUAGUUUUAAUAGGUAAUAGGGAAUUAGAGUUUGAUUCUAGAGAGGGAGCCUAAGAAAUAGCUACUAUAUCUAAGGAAGGCAGCAGGCGCGCAAAUUACCUAAUUCUAAUAUAAGGAGGUAGUAAUAAUAAAUACUAAUACAGGGCUCUUUUAGGUCUUGUAAUUAGAAUAAGUAUAAUUUAAACCUCUUAAUAAGAAAUAAUUAGAGAGUAAGUCUAGUGCUAGCAGCUGCAGUAAUUCUAGCUCUAAUAGCGUAUAUUAAAGUUAUUGCAGUUAAAAAGCUUGUAGUUAAACUUUAGGUCUAGCUAGCAGGUCUGCCUUACUACGUGUACUUGUCUAGCUAAGCCUUUCUUCUAGAGAACUUUAUACUCUUUACUAGGCGUAUUAGAGACUAGGACUUUUACUUUGAAAAAAUUAGAGUAUUUAAAGUAGACCUUUGCUUGAAUACGUUAGUAUAGAAUAAUAGAAUAGAAUAUGUAGUUCUAUUUUAUUAGUUUCUAGGACUGCUGUAAUAAUUAAUAGAGACAGUUAGAGGUAUUAGUAUUUAAUUGUUAGAGGUGAAAUUCUUGGAUUUAUUAAAGACUAACUACUGCGAAAGUAUUUGCUAAGGAUAUUUUUAUUAAUUAGUAAACGAAAGUUAGAGGAUUGAAGAUAAUUAGAUACUGUCGUAGUCUUAACUGUAAACUAUACCAACUAGAGAUUAGGUGAUGUUCUUUUUCUGACUCGCUCGGCAUCUUAUAAGAAAUUAAAGUUUUUAGGUUCUAGAGGGAGUAUAGUUGUAAGGCUAAAACUUAAAGAAAUUAAUAGAAGGGUACUACUAGGCGUGGAGCCUGCGGCUUAAUUUGACUUAAUAUAGGGAAACUUACUAGGUCUAGAUAAAAUAAGGAUUAAUAGAUUGAGAGCUCUUUCUUAAUUUUUUAGGUGGUAGUAUAUAGCUGUUCUUAGUUAGUAGAGUGAUUUAUCUACUUAAUUGCAAUAAUAAACGAGACCUUAACCUGCUAAAUAGCUAGGCUAGCUUUAGCUAGUUACUAGCUUCUUAGAGAGACUAUUAGCU
rnacentral:rRNA from 1 species